CCAGAAGUAUCUCAGUGGUAGAGCAUCUGACUUGCAUGCAAAAGGUCCCAGGUUCAAUCCCUGGUACAGCUGGG